rnacentral:pre_miRNA from 1 species
AUCACCUGGGAAACUUGAUAAAAUGUAGAUUCAGAUUCGGUAGGCCUGGGGUGGGACCUGAGAUUCUGUAUUUCUUACAAGGUCCCAGGUGAUGCUGA